GUGCUCGCUCCAGCAGCACAUAUACUAAAAUCGGAAAAAUACAGAGAAGAUUAGCAUGGCCCCUGUGAAAGGAUAACAUGCAAAUUCACAAACCAUUCCAUAUUAAA